rnacentral:lncRNA from 1 species
GGGGGUGGUCUUUGAUGUUCUGAUUAAACUUCAGGCUUGGUAGGAACUGUGUCCCUGCAUCUCCACAGUGUAGACUACACAAGUGCCCUCUCGCAGCUGUAGUACUAGUAUGUGUCUAGUAUGUAUUCCUGCAACUUCCCCUAGGGACUGUGUGGGGUUUUGUUCUUGUUUGUUUGGUUUGGUUCCCCCGCCGCUGUUCUUUUCCCCAGCUGGUUUGGGUUUCACCCAAUGGUCUAAGGGCCCCAGCUACCAAUUUUUAUUGUUUUUCCCCUACAGAUCAAGGUUUGUUCUCUACAGGGAAGAUGGGGGAGACACUUCUCUGCAAAUUUCCACAGCAGCUGGUGUUUCCCUCCCCCACCACAAGGAAAGCUUCUUCCAGAUUUUCCUCAGUCUUCUCUGUGAGCACCUGAAAUAACUCCUGAAUAUGCCACCUGUGAGAUAUGAGAAGGCUACAGAGAAGAAAUCUUUUUACCCCAUUUCCAUCAGUUUGAUAUUAGCAUCAAAGCAAAGCUCUGUGUUUGCCCUCUCUCAUCUCAUGGGACGGGACAUAGACUCCAGCAGGGCAACUUCCUGUGUCUGAAGGCAAUUCAUAGUGAGGGAAAGGAAAUCCCUGGCAGCUGUUAGAAGGAGCUGGGAGGGACACCUACCACAGUGUGACGUGAAAAGUGGUGCAUACGUAUGUGCCCGGGAUCCAAACCUGCAAACCCCGGGCCCGCUGGAUCAGAGCAUGCAAACUUAACUGCUGUGCCACCAGGACGGCCCCUUAUCAGUUUUUAUCUUAAAAAUAAAUAUCAGAUUUUAUUCUGUGCUUAUUCUUACACACGGUGCUUAUUUGUCAGUGCAUUCUAAAUAUUUUUACCAGUCACCAGUUUAUGAUUUUUUGUAAAUAACAAAUUAGUUCUAGAAACCGAUUGUUUAUAUGGUCCUUUCUGAACCUGAAAAUCAGGAAAAUCUCUCUUUAAACUUCUCGUGUUUCAUCACUGCGUUUACACACAUAACUCCAACUGUCUUCAUCUAUCUAUUCAUCUAUCUAUCUAUCUAUUUAUCAACAUUGAUUUUAUUCUAUCAAGAGUCAAAUGGGAGAAAAAUUUAUUCAUUUCAAUUGCUUAAUGCUAUUUUGACCAGAAGCCAUAAUUUUACAGUAAGUUCAAUAAGUUCAUCAAUUUGACUACUCGAGAGGUAACUAUUUUUCGUCCAAGUUGUAGACAAAAGUUUGUUCAGCAGCGAUCGAUGC